CUUGACGUUCUUCAAUGCUAAGGAUAGCGAAUAACACAUGCAAUGCUUAUCGGACGAUCAGAUAGCGUGAAAUAUGUACGCAGAAAAAUAAACUCAAUAGUUCUGAGACAAUGGGUGGUCAUUCAAUUCGACAUUUAUUUGCAUAAUAUUUAUUUUCAACGGAUAGAAAGAUACGAAACACAUAGCAAGCAACAUACGCUAAUGCAACAUGACUGAUAAUGAAAGGAUUAUGAAAACUAAGAAAGAAGAAAGAGAGAAAAAACGUCAUUGUCUCUACGCGAGCGCGUUCCUUCUAGGAAAGCCAGUUAUAAAAUUCUUAACGACAGUAUUACGUAAACAAUGAUACGAGAUCAAUAUCAAGCGACGUUUUUGGGAUUUCAAACAAUUUUCACAGGAACGAUGGAUAAUUUAACAUUACUGUAUGUAUCUAAUUCGUUCUGUUACAAAUUGAAAUUUGUGCAAUAAUGACAUUUUAUAACUAUUUUAAAAGAAAAACGACAUUUUACAAUUUACGAUUACUGGACGCAGAAUGAAAAACUACGAGGCAGUGUGAUCAAUCGCUAACGUCAAGCGCACCUGCAAAAUUGACAUGCAACGUAAACCACGUUGCUGUAUCGUAGAUACGUGAAGUAUAAAAAUAUAAGGUCUACGAGAGCCAGGAUACAUAAGCACAUGAAACCUACCGGUGAGAAACCGGUGGAAGAGAUGUGAGCAGAUCGAAUCUACGGUGGUGACCGUUUGCGCUUAGGCGCAAGUAGUAGUAAAAAAUGAAUCGGGUCAGACGCGAAGCGUGUACGUGCAAAUGCCAUUACGGUGUUUCACCUAUGCCCAUGGCUUAUUUUCAUUUUAUUCGGACACGUAUUACAUGACAUCUUUAUUAUUGUUGCUAUAUAUAUGUAUGCUGAUAAAUGUAUUUGCUAGAUAUGUCCGCGCGCACAUCACUUGCACAUACUGCACAUAUAGCGUCGUAUCCCAGCUCUUUCAACUUUAAGUCUGUAUAAUGUAUAAGC